rnacentral:lncRNA from 1 species
AGAUCCUGCCAGUCAGCCGUGCCUACACAACUGCCUGAGUUCUCACCACCACUGCCAGUUGGAAGUGAUCACACCUUUUCAGUUAUACUUCAAUUCCUUAAUUAAUCUUUAAACACUUUCAAAUAUGGAGAUUAAUAACAAAGUUCUUAUUUUGAGGGGCAGUUGGAUUCCGUUUUUUAUUUAACAUAAUUUUUCUAUCGUUACUGUCAAAUGCUAGAAGGCUGUUUCCAAGGCUGGACAGCAGACUGUCCUUUCUGGUGGAUUAUUAAUGACCGUUUCCUUCAACAAAUAAAACACACACAGGAAAAUGUUAAAGAACACCCCGUCUUCUUCCUAAAGCUGUUCAUCUGUCUCCCACGAUUCACUAGAUAUUCUGAACAGAUAAAAGUAGACCUCCAGAUUUUCACUUCAGGGCAUUGUCAUUUAUUUCACAGCACAUUUUCUGUGACAACUUUCCAAGCCUAGAGGUCGAACAGGAUGAGCAUGUCAGAGGAACUUUUAACCAGGCAUUGCAAUUGGAUACAUAUAUUUUUUCUUGGAAGAUCUGUUUCCUGGUCAGUCUGGUGGAAUAAGAAUUCUGAAAACACCAUCUAUUUUGAAAGUGAUUUUUGAUACACCAGAUGAGGAUCCAAAUUACAAUCCACACCUGAAGAACGGCCAGAAGGUUUCACCUGGGGUGAGGGCCAGCGCCUCAAAGGU